GAUGAACGCUGGCGGCGUGCCUAAUACAUGCAAGUCGAGCGAACAGACGAGGAGCUUGCUCCUCUGACGUUAGCGGCGGACGGGUGAGUAACACGUGGAUAACCUACCUAUAAGACUGGGAUAACUUCGGGAAACCGGAGCUAAUACCGGAUAAUAUAUUGAACCGCAUGGUUCAAUAGUGAAAGACGGUUUUGCUGUCACUUAUAGAUGGAUCCGCGCCGCAUUAGCUAGUUGGUAAGGUAACGGCUUACCAAGGCGACGAUGCGUAGCCGACCUGAGAGGGUGAUCGGCCACCCUGGAACUGAGACACGGUCCAGACUCCUACGGGAGGAAGCAGUAGGGAAUCUUCCGCAAUGGGCGAAAGCCUGACGGAGCAACGCCGCGUGAGUGAUGAAGGUCUUCGGAUCGUAAAACUCUGUUAUUAGGGAAGAACAAAUGUGUAAGUAACUAUGCACGUCUUGACGGUACCUAAUCAGAAAGCCACGGCUAACUACGUG
rnacentral:rRNA from 1 species